ACGGUUUGAGCUAGUUUGGAGGGUCUGACUUUUGGGUUUCCAAACUCUCCGCCGUUGUACCGAGCGCAGCAGGAGGGGCUACGAUUGCGGAGGCGACUGGAGGCGGCGAUGGGGGCUCGGUUUGGGGCGGUUUGGGGUCUGGGUCUCCUCGCUCGGUGGCCAGCACCAUUUUGCACUCUUUGGAUUUCCCAAAAACGCCGCGCUUUACGCCCGGCCAGCUGCCUCGGCAACUGUGGCCUGCACACCACCACCACACGACUGGGUCUGUCGAUCGCUGAGACAGAGCAAUGUGGGGGGAGACACUACGGGGCAGCAAAUAAGGCGAGGAAAAAGGUAAAGAAAAAGGCAAAGAAAAAGGCAAGGAAGAAACCGACCGAUGUGAGGCGAGGCGACAAACUAAAACUCGGGCGGAUAAAACUGCCCACGGUUGAGUGAGCACAUUGACGGGUUGGCUGAUUGUGGGUUGCGGAUUCCGGAUUGCGGAUUGCGGAUUGCGGAAUGGUGGAUUGCAGAUUGGCAGGUUGACGGAUUUGUUGACUGGUCCAGCUCGAAUUCACAUCAAUAUCCGGAUGCGUUGGUCUACUCUGGUCGAUUGCUCACCGUCUCAUUCACAUGGACUUAGAGUUCUUUCUACACACGUUGACGGGAAAAAACAAGUGCAACGACAAGGGUCUGCGGACAAUCACGAUCGACACUGAUAAUGUGAGAAUAAGGGGAAAAGGCCCCGAACCAGGCGAGAAGGAUGGAUUUGCAAACCGAAAAGCAGGAAAAAACACAUGAUCUUCAAAAAGAGGGGGACACUCGCAUCAGGCAUACAAUCCUACAAUCAUACAAUCAUACAAUCAUAAAAUCAUACAACCAUCAGCACGGCCCCACAAUGUGCCUGGUUACCCCUCUCCUCCGCAAUCCAGUCUUAUCUCUCUCCCUGCUAUCUUCCCCACACCGACACCGUGGAGAAUCAGUGCCAUGCGUCGUAUCGCACAAACCGGCUCCAUCACGGCGUCUUAGGUCCGACUCGGUCAAAGGAGCGGGAGACCCGGAACCGACCGGGUUCCUGAUUGGGACUUCUUCAAAGGCUAUUUUUCGGAACUGGAAAAAACGGCCUGGCUUAGUAAUGGGCAAAGAGAGCGCAGUCUGGAGAGGCGCCGUACCACCUCACGGGGUGAUUGUCACGUGACUAGAAUUCUUGUCGUCCACAUCUCUCGUUGCACAACCGUCACUCUCGUGUCCCCGCACAACCCUCCUGGCUCCCCCGCCCCCCCCGGCUGCCAUCCCCACAAAGUUUAUUAUUAUCACGUUCGUGCAGCGAUUAAGUCGGUGACGCAGAGUCACGUGCGAUCGUGUCGAUGAGCCACCACGUUGGACACGGGAAAAAGGUGAUAAAAAACACACAUAUGGCCCUGUGACCAAGGUCGGGUGAUAUUUCGGUCCAGGAGGUGAUCUCGUUCUCGUUUUUCGUUUCUCGAUUCACGUUCACCACUUUUUGACUCAUGAGGUGACUGGAGUUGAUGGGCCGAGGUUAAAAUGGUGAAAAUAGGCAAAAUGAAACUGGCGAUUUUUAACGAUUUCAACGAGAAAGGGUGUCGUUCUGAUAUUUUAACGACAACGAGCCAAUCACCAGGAAUUUUUGGAUAUUUUU
rnacentral:misc_RNA from 1 species